rnacentral:lncRNA from 1 species
GUUUAAAUUUUUUUUAUAUGAAAAGAAUGUCAAACUUAAAAACUUCAAUUAAAAUUUAGAAAAAUGGCAUUCCCUCCUUCCCAAACCACUUAUAAAUAACACCGAAUUUAAACAUAUUUGAUCAUCAGCCAAAGUAAAACAAUACCCCCAUCAAAGUUAAAAUGGCAGUUCAUUUAUUUUCUCAACCCUUUUUCUUCAACUUCUCUUUGCAUCAUUGCCUAGCCACCGUACCCUCACCUUUACUGCCGAUGACAGUUGGCAAAUCUUGCAAAAAAGUAUCGGAAUCUCCGCCAUGCAUGUGCAACUUCUUAGGAACGAUCGUGUGAUAAUGUUCGAUAGAACCAAUUUUGGACCGUAGAAUCUAUCGUUACCGAACGGGAAAUGCUGCAAUGACCCGGCGGACAUGGCUCUCCAAGUGGAUUGCACUACUCAUUCAGUAGAGUACGAUAUUUUUGCCAAUAAAUAUCGGGCUCUCUGUAACGCCCCCACGCUCGAGACCGUCGCCAGAGUCGAGCUUGAGGUGUUACCGAACAUAAUUUAUCGAAUUAAGAACUUCGAAUCAUUUAUUUCUACAUUCACAGCUUUCUAGCUACCUGCGUCACAGUUACAAGAAAAAUCAUAUCUCGAGUUAAAAAACUCGAAAUCAAGAUCCGUAAAUUUUCCUUAAAUCUAGCCUCAUAUAUAUAUUUACUAAUUUUUUUCUAGAAUUUUUGGUUGGUCCAAUUAAUACAGUUUAUUAGUUAAAGUUACCCCUGUUUCAGGACUUGACUGGACUGACCUCUGUUUACUACGAACCAUAUUUCUCUCUGUGAAAAGUUUAUAUGACUAUGACAUUUAUUUAUUACGAAACUAGACUCAAUAAGGAUUCCAAUAAUAUAAAAUACACCACCUAAUUAUUUUUGUACAAUUUAUGGUAAAUUUCUAAAGUUAGAACAGGGGAUCUAGAAAUCGCUCUAGCCCUGUUUCACUAAAAUUCAAAUAUCUUAUAACAUACAAUUCCUUUACUUGUUUCAUUUGUUUUAUAUGAAACUAGACAUACUAGGCUUCAAUUUCAUAUUUAAUCCAUCACCAAAUUCAAUUUCUAUGAUUUUAGUAAAUUUUCAAACUCAUGUCAGUGUUGCCGCAAUAUUCUGUUUAUGGCAAAUUUCAUCUUUUCAUGAGUUUUUAUUAUCUAGAUAACAUAUUAAACUUCCAUGACAUCAAACAUGAUCCAACUUAGCAUUUUUCAUGACUUAUCAUUAUUAAGCAUUUUCUCAGCCAAAUCAUGGCCAUAUCACAAAAUUAUUUACACAAAAUAGGUGUAUUGCUAUACAUGCCAUACUUAAGUUUUACAAGCCGUUUACCAAAAAGAGUCCUUCGGAUAGUGUGAUCGAACCUUCGACCGGUCCCAAUUCCUAAGCCGGCUUGUUCAAAACUACAGUGAAUGAAAAGGAGGGAGUAAGCAUAAAUGCUUAGUAAGUCAUAUGCAAAUAACAAGUAACAUAACAAUACAAUUAUACCAAACAACCUUAGCAUGGUAUCACCAAAACAUAUAUCACAUUUCUAAACAUCAUUAAUCAUCUUACCACCUUAUCGUUGUUGUAUCUAUUUUCAACCCGAAGGUUAAGUACAUACCUGUCCAAAGUGUCAAUUUCACAAUACUUACCAAUACAUCACCUGCAUCUUAAGUGUUCUUCCAUUUCACUAGAAAUUUUACCCGUUGAACACAUCGGAAUAUAACUCGGAUACAUGGAUAAUUUGCACAUAAGUGCCACAUUUGUAGCCAACCUACCAUGUAACCCGCCCAUAAGUGAACUCGGACUCAACUCAACGAGCUCGGGGGUUCGCAUCCAUAAGUGAACUCGGACUCAACUCAACGAGUUCUGAUGCCUAGUUACAUCUCACGAACUCGGACUCAACUCAACGAGUUCGGACAUUUCACAUCCAUAAGUGAACUCGGACUCAACUCAAUGAGUUCGGAUGUUCAACCGUCCUAGUGACAUGUCACUUGUAUCCUAAUCUAUUCCUAAGGUUCAAACGGGAUUUUCCUCGAACACAUCUCCUUGCCAUCUUCCGUAAAAUACCGAAACUAAUACUCGGUAGCACUUUAUAUUUAACAAAUAAUACACUUAAUUUGCAUUUUAUUCGAAAAUAACCACAAAGCAUAUAUUUCAUGAUAAAAAUCAGCAUAUCAUAUAUUUAACAUUAAUAGCUUAAAAAUAACAAUUAUGCUACCUUAUUUACACAUGAACUUACCUCGGUACAAAAUUUUUAACAAUCGAGCCUAUUCCUCGUAAACUUUGUUUUUUCCUCGAUCACGACUUGAAUCUCGUUUCUCUUGAUCUAUAAUACCAAAUUAAUCUUAUUUAAUACAUACAUUCAUUAAAACAGUACUUAAUACGAACUUUGGAAAAAUUACCAUUUUGCCCCUAAACUUUUGCAUAAUUACACUUUUGCCCCUAGGCUCGGGAAUUAAACUUCAUCCCUUAUUAUUAUGUUUUAUGACAUUCUGAUCAUUUUUCCCUUCUAUGGCAACAUCAAAUUCUCACUCUAACAUGUAUUUAUGACUACUAAAUAUUUUUACCGAUUAAGCCUUUUUACUCGUUUUUACUCAAAACCGAGUAGCAAAAGUUGUCUAACAAAAUUUAAAACCUCAUAUUCUGUCAUAAAACACAACAAUACAAUUAUACCAAACAACCUUAGCAUGGUAUCACCAAAACAUAUAUCACAUUUCUAAACAUCAUUAAUCAUCUUACCACCUUAUCGUUGUUGUAUCUAUCUUCAACCCGAAGGUUAAGUACAUACCUGUCCAAAGUGUCAAUUUCACAAUACUUACCAAUACAUCACCUGCAUCUUAAGUGUUCUUCCAUUUCACUAGAAAUUUUACCCGUUGAACACAUCGGAAUAUAACUCGGAUACAUGGAUAAUUUGCACAUAAGUGCCACAUUUGUAGCCAAGCUACCAUGUAACCCGCCCAUAAGUGAACUCGGACUCAACUCAACGAGCUCGGGGGUUCGCAUCCAUAAGUGAACUCGGACUCAACUCAACGAGUUCUGAUGCCUAGUUACAUCUCACGAACUCGGACUCAACUCAACGAGUUCGGACAUUUCACAUCCAUAAGUGAACUCGGACUCAACUCAAUGAGUUCGGAUGUUCAACCGUCCUAGUGACAUGUCACUUGUAUCCUAAUCUAUUCCUAAGGUUCAAACGGGAUUUUCCUCGAACACAUCUCCUUGCCAUCUUCCGUAAAAUACCGAAACCAAUACUCGGUAGCACUUUAUAUUUAACAAAUAAUACACUUAAUUUGCAUUUUAUUCGAAAAUAACCACAAAGCAUAUAUUUCAUGAUAAAAAUCAGCAUAUCAUAUAUUUAACAUUAAUAACUUAAAAAUAACAAUUAUGCUACCUUAUUUACACAUGAACUUACCUCGGUACAAAAUUUUUAACAAUCGAGCCUAUUCCUCGUAAACUUUAUUUUUUCCUCGAUCACGACUUGAAUCUCGUUUCUCUUGAUCUAUAAUACCAAAUUAAUCUUAUUUAAUACAUACAUUCAUUAAAACAGUACUUAAUACGAACUUUGGAAAAAUUACCAUUUUGCCCCUAAACUUUUGCAUAAUUACACUUUUGCCCCUAGGCUCGGGAAUUAAACUUCAUCCCUUAUUAUUAUGUUUUAUGACAUUCUGAUCAUUUUUCCCUUCUAUGGCAACAUCAAAUUCUCACUCUAACAUGUAUUUAUGACUACUAAAUAUUUUUACCGAUUAAGCCUUUUUACUCGUUUUUACUCAAAACCGAGUAGCAAAAGUUGUCUAACAAAAUUUAAAACCUCAUAUUCUGUCAUAAAACACCAAAAUACACAAAUUUCACCUAUGGGUAUUUUUCCAAAUAUGAACCAUAGGUUGAAUUAUUGUUAACAUAAGCCAAAUCGAGCUACCGGGAUUUCAAAAACAUAAAAAUCAUUAAAAACGGGGUUUGAAAUCACUUACUAUGAAAUUUGAAAGUUGAAGAAACCCCAGCUAUGGAGGAGAGAAAAAAUCAGCAGAACAAUAUGGAGAAG